GGGGAUUUAGCUCAAUGGUAGAGCACUUGCCUAGCAAGCGAAAGGCCCUGGGUUCGGUCCUCAGCUCUG
rnacentral:tRNA from 1 species